rnacentral:rRNA from 1 species
UAAGCAUCGGCUAACUCCGUGCAGCAGCCGCGGUAAUACGGAGGAUGCAAGCGUUAUCCGGAUUCAUUGGGUUAAAGGGUGCGCAGGCGGAGUGAUAAGUCAGUGGUGAAAUCCUACGGCUCAACUGUAGAACUGCCAUUGAUACUGUCAUUCUUGAGUACUGUUGAGGUAGGCGGAAUGUGUCAUGUAGCGGUGAAAUGCUUAGAUAUGACACAGAACACCGAUCGCGAAGGCAGCUUACCAAGCAGAAACUGACGCUCAUGCACGAAAGCGUGGGGAUCAAACAGGAUUAGAUACCCUGGUAGUCCACGCUGUAAACGAUGAUCACUCGAUGUUGGCGAUAUACUGUCAGCGUCUUAGCGAAAGUAUUAAGUGAUCCACCUGGGGAGUACGGUCGCAAGAUUGAAACUCAAAGGAAUUGACGGGGG